UCCAUGCAAGUCGAACGGUAACAGGGAGCUUGCUCCGCUGACGAGUGGCGAACGGGUGAGUAAUGUAUCGGAACGUACCCAAGAGUGGGGGAUAACGUAGCGAAAGUUACGCUAAUACCGCAUACGAUCCAAGGAUGAAAGUGGGGGACCUUCGGGCCUCAUGCUCCUGGAGCGGCCGAUAUCUGAUUAGCUAGUUGGUGAGGUAAAGGCUCACCAAGGCGACGAUCAGUAGCUGGUCUGAGAGGACGACCAGCCACACUGGAACUGAGACACGGUCCAGACUCCUACGGGAGGCAGCAGUGGGGAAUUUUGGACAAUGGGGGCAACCCUGAUCCAGCAAUGCCGCGUGAGUGAAGAAGGCCUUCGGGUUGUAAAGCUCUUUUGUCAGGGAAGAAACGGUUUCAGCUAAUAUCUGGAGCUAAUGACGGUACCUGAAGAAUAAGCACCGGCUAACUACGUGCCAGCAGCCGCGGUAAUACGUAGGGUGCAAGCGUUAAUCGGAAUUACUGGGCGUAAAGCGUGCGCAGGCGGUUUUGUAAGUCUGUUGUGAAAUCCCCGGGCUUAACCUGGGAAUGGCAAUGGAGACUGCAAGGCUAGAGUUUGGCAGAGGGGGGUAGAAUUUCCACGUGUAGCAGUGAAAUGCGUAGAGAUGUGGAGGAACACCGAUGGCGAAGGCAGCCCCAUGGGUCAAGACUGACGCUCAUGCACGAAAGCGUGGGGAGCAAACAGGAUUAGAUACCCUGGUAGUCCACGCCCUAAACGAUGUCUACUAGUUGUCGGGUCUUAAUUGACUUGGUAACGCAGCUAACGCGUGAAGUAGACCGCCUGGGGAGUACGGUCGCAAGAUUAAAACUCAAAGGAAUUGACGGGGACCCGCACAAGCGGUGGAUGAUGUGGAUUAAUUCGAUGCAACGCGAAAAACCUUACCUACCCUUGACAUGGCAGGAAUCCCGGAGAGAUUUGGGAGUGCUCGAAAGAGAACCUGCACACAGGUGCUGCAUGGCUGUCGUCAGCUCGUGUCGUGAGAUGUUGGGUUAAGUCCCGCAACGAGCGCAACCCUUGUCAUUAGUUGCUACGAAAGAGCACUCUAAUGAGACUGCCGGUGACAAACCGGAGGAAGGUGGGGAUGACGUCAAGUCCUCAUGGCCCUUAUGGGUAGGGCUUCACACGUCAUACAAUGGUACAUACAGAGGGCCGCCAACCCGCGAGGGGGAGCUAAUCCCAGAAAGUGUAUCGUAGUCCGGAUUGUAGUCUGCAACUCGACUGCAUGAAGUUGGAAUCGCUAGUAAUCGCGGAUCAGCAUGUCGCGGUGAAUACGUUCCCGGGUCUUGUACACACCGCCCGUCACACCAUGGGAGCGGGUUUUACCAGAAGUAGGUAGCUUAACCGCAAGGAGGGCGCUACCACAGUAGG
rnacentral:rRNA from 2 species